ACAGUGCUUAUAAAAUCUGACCUGCGGCGACAGAAGGCCAACAGUCAAUCCCAGAGAGAGGUGAUCGCUGACUCAUCCGUACAUCCCCAAGAUGGAAAAUCGUUACCGGUAAAAGAGGUGAAGAUGUAAAGACGGAAACCAUCGGAAUCACACUCUCAGUGUGCAUCACAACUCCAUAUGAACCAUCAUACGCAUAAAUCCUCUUGAACUUCCUACACAGCCAAUAUCCUGAACAAUGACAGCUCAGUUUACAUACUCAAGCACAACCGAAAGUACGUUUUCUAACUUUACAUUGUUCCUUCAGUGCUCCCACGUCACAACAUUCAGUGGGAAUCAUUUGUGAAACACAAGCACAAAAAAUUGCAGGCCGUUACAUUCAAUUCACACAAGUAUGGAUUUAUGAACAAUUCACAUGAACUGCUCAUGUUUCAUGUUGUAAUGUGUAAUUUUCUACGCCAUGUGUAUCAUGAUGUUUGCAUGAUGGUCCGUUAGAGCGGACCUAAACUUUAGUUAUGAGUACUAAUCUAGUAUAAAGUGUCUCUGUGACUGACACAUCUAGAUCUGAUUCAGGAGAUCUCACUCUGUGUUCAGGUUAAUAUGGAAGGUCAAAGUCCUUCAAUGAAACCAUCAAUUCAAUAUAUGGUGCUUUAAAUGUGUGAGCGCCUUGUGAAAGCGCAUCAGUGGUCAGUGGAGAUGUGUGAUGAUACUCACGUCUCAAAUGCAAUACUAAACAACAACGGUGCAGAACACAGGGAAUUAGAACGCAAUUUAUUUUGGGAACAUCUGCAAUGUUUAUGUGUGUUGCAGUGUAAUGUGCGAUUGAUUACGCAGAAUGAAAUCCAAGAUUUUCUCUUACUCAUUUUGGACUGCUGAUUCCAAAAACUGGAUUCGUUUUGCUGAAGCAAAGAAGAGGUUUAAGACGUCUCGCAUUAUCUGUUAAUUACAAACGCAUGAAUCCUGUCUGAGCCACAUUACAACUUUGUUCAAUUCUCAGCCCAUUGUCAUGUGCAUGAGAUUAUUUGAUGCCUAUCCUGAUUUUAAGGUCAGAAUUAUGGAUAGAAGAAAAUGCAAACACGAGUCGGAUGUUUUUUUUUUUUUUGCUUUUCCUGCAUCCACAGAACAUUAUGGAUUUUGUGGGGAAAAAAUAAGAUAUUCAUAAACAUGUGUUUAUGUGAAGUUUAAGAGAUUAAAUGUGACC